rnacentral:rRNA from 1 species
UACGUAGGGUCCAAGCGUUAUCCGGAUUUAUUGGGCGUAAAGCACAUGUAGGUGGUUUGAUAAGUCUUGUCUUAAAGCUCCGGGCUUAACUCGGAACGGUCAACUGAUACUGCGCGGCUAGAGUGCAGAAGGGGCAACUGGAAUUCUCGGUGUAGCGGUGAAAUGCGUAGAUAUCGAGAGGAACACCUGCGGCGAAGGCGGGUUGCUGGGCUGACACUGACGCUGAUGCGCGAAAGCCAGGGGAGCGAACGGG